GAUGAAGAACGUAGCGAAAUGCGAUAAGUAAUGUGAAUUGCAGAAUUCAGUGAAUCAUCGAAUCUUUGAACGCACAUUGCGCCCGCCAGUAUUCUGGCGGGCAUGCCUGUCCGAGCGUCAUUUCAACCCUCGAACCCCUCCGGGGGGUCGGCGUUGGGGAUCGGCCCUCCCUUAGCGGGUGGCCGUCUCCGAAAUACAGUGGCGGUCUCGCCGCAGCCUCUCCUGCGCAGUAGUUUGCACACUCGCAUCGGGAGCGCGGCGCGUCCACAGCCGUUAAACACCCAACUUCUGAAAUGUUGACCUCGGAUCAGGUAGGAAUACCCGCUGAACUUAAGCAUAUCAAUAAGCGAGGA
rnacentral:misc_RNA from 1 species